CCAGUCCCCAUAGAUCCUCAUUAGGUAUUCUUUGUCCUCACAAGGUUUUACCUGGUUCUGUGCUAGAACAUGUUAAGGCUGUUCAUUAAGGCUGGUCAUUUUAUUUAUUUAUUAUUUUUUGGGAGGGGCCACACGGGGCCCAGCUUUGUUAAUCUUACUCAAUGUUUGCUGGCUCCUCAGUUGGAACUUCACGGAAUUUGCUUGGUCCGGAUUUUCGCAGACCUUACCAGCAUAGUUUAUAUGGAGGUCCUCUCUAGGGCCUCAUUAGAAUGUUGAUAUUUCUUAAUCAGUCUUAUGGAUAUGUACAUACAUGUAUAUGCAAAGCUCCUAACAUCAAAUCAGCUUUACCUGAAAAUUUAACCAAUAGAUGUGCCCAAACCUCUUCAUGUAGGAAUGUGCAAAAAUUAUUAUGUAACCCAAAGGGAACCAGGGACCUCCAUUAUUUUGCAUACAGUCAUUUUAGAUAAUUAUGUUCUUUUGUUCUACCAAAGAAAGUCAUUGCACACAUUGCGUAAAGUAAAAUCUUAUUCUCAACAGUUACAUGUAAAAGAGCUCAUUCAUAUUUUUCUUCCUUUGCUAGUUUGGAGCUUUCUUUAAAUGUGAAGUAGGCAUUUAGAUAAUUAUCCUAUCGGAUGAAAUUCUCCACUUCCCACAGCCAUGAUUUUCACCUUUAGCUCCCCGAUAUACGCAACGUAAUGGUCUUCACGUGCAGGCUAAAAAAAAUUUUCAAACGCUUAUACUGCGGGCACCUUGGCAUCCAUUAAAAUGUCAACUAACAUAAAUUACCCUAAAACAUAAAAUGUCUGCCUCCUGGCCCCAUUAGCCCAUGCACACCUCUGAUUAAUAUCUUGUGACAACUUUGUCGUGUCAUGAAUAACGCUUCGCGGCUGCCCCUGUUCCCUUCUCCACGACCUCCCCCCCCAACAGUCACUACCAAUCUAGACACACUUUGCGAAAUAUCUCUGUCUUGCUGAAGCCGCGAAACUUCAUAUAAGUCUUUUGCAUGUGUUUGUGUUUUUUUUCCCCAAGUCUGGAAUGAGACAUGAUAUGCUUAGAGAUUUUUUUCUUUCAUUCCUUUUUUUGACUUCUUUCCCCAUUUCUCCACUCUUGGCGUGAUGAGCUGCAGCCCUAUUUAAUUACCCUGGGUCUUGGCCGGGAAUUAGACUGUCCUGCUUGAUUUGCACUCUCAGCUCUGAUUGGCUCACUGAGAGGAAGCAUCACCUGUUGUGUUUGUGGAUGGUAAACCUGAUGACUUCUUUGCACAUUACCCCCUAAAGAUUCUUCAAAACAUGCUGUAGUCAAUGGACAGGUCUGGCAACCCCCCCGUGGUUUUUUUUUUUUAAAUCUUCUUUUGGAGGAAGUCCUUUGAUCCUACCAACUUCCGACUUUCAUUAAAAAAAAUGGUGUUUAUCUUAUGUGCACCACCCCAGCUGUAAUCCAUAUAAAAGGAUCCAGUCCCAGAGUUGUUGAUUCCUUCAUUCGCAUUAAAACUCUUAAUGAUGUGUAAUCAUUUAAUGUGUACUUCCUCAAACACUGGUAUUAGGUAUCCUAUGCCUUCUCUCAAGUGCCAAAGAAUGUAUGUCAAGGCUCAAGCUAGCUUAUCUCCGAUCGUGACCAGUUCUAGUUUAAGCACCGAUUUAUGUUGUAGUUUGGCAUUCUGAAAGUAAAGAACCAUUUUUUUUAUGUCAACUUACAAAGAUCUGUUUUCUCUGUCAAGUAGUUAAGUUUGUAAUACAUCUGGCUUCCCUUGUAGAAUAGAAACAUCUAAAAAAUGAGAUGAUAGGAAAAGAAAAUCCGGCUCUUUUUUACCAGGAUGUUUUCAGGAUGUCACUGCAUGAGCAAUGACACACUGUCGGCAGUGUGCAUACCUGCCCUUUGAAAAGAUCCGUCUUGCUUUGGUAUUUUCGUAACUGAAUGCACACUGGGAUUAUCCUCUACUGGAUUACAGCCCAGUGAAAUUGAUGGAUUGAGGAGUGACAGAUGAUUUAACAUGGAGAUUGUCGCCAUUUUUCAUUCACAUUUGGAGUUGUUUAUAACACGGUUGGCUUGCUUUCUGGUGCAGGAUGGUCUUUUGACUGGUGUGUGUAGCUUGUUGGGUUUAUUUUGCAAGUACAGCAUGGCCAGUUUGGUUAGCGUUUAGGGACUAGCCGAUUGACUGAACUAGCAAGUGGUUAAUCGGUCUGGUAGAUGGCUAGUUCCAGGUUGGUAGCAGGGUGGUAAGAUUGUAUUUUCAGUCAUUGCAGAUUUUCUAGUUUGUUUAGCUGCUUUUAUCUGCUGAAUGGUUUCUACCUGGCUCUGUACUUGACUGUAAGUUGAGGUUGCGAACAAGAAAUGGACCAGAAGGAAUACCAUCUACACCCUGUGUUACUGUGGGCCCUCCAAACCUCUGGAAGCCAGCUUACUAUCCUGCGUUGACCCGACCAGACAAGACUUCCUCUGAAAAACAUCCAAGGAGCUGUCUGACCUCUGUGUUGAUCCAAGAGGCUAAGGAGAGGGCUAGGUUGUAAGGGGGUACAUCCUCAGUUUUACCAUGUUCAUUGGACAGCACAA